CUGAACCCCUCUUCCCCUGUGCCUGCGUUCUCUGUCCUGCCCUGCAGCGCGUGCCUGCCCAUCUCCAUGCCCC